UAUAAUAAAGUAUAUGAUGUACAUGGGUUUUUGAUGCUUGAGGGGUAGUUUAAUUCUACAUAUUGUAA
rnacentral:tRNA from 1 species